UACGAAGGGGGCUAGCGUUGCUCGGAAUCACUGGGCGUAAAGCGCACGUAGGCGGCUUACUAAGUCAGGGGUGAAAUCCUGGAGCUCAACUCCAGAACUGCCUUUGAUACUGGUGAGCUUGAGUCCGGAAGAGGUGAGUGGAACUGCGAGUGUAGAGGUGAAAUUCGUAGAUAUUCGCAAGAACACCAGUGGCGAAGGCGGCUCACUGGUUCGGUACUGACGCUGAGGUGCGAAAGCGUGGGGAGCAAACAGGGAUUAAGAAACCCCAG
rnacentral:rRNA from 1 species